AUUGAACGCUGGCGGCAGGCCUAACACAUGCAAGUCGAGCGGGGUUUUCGGACCUAGCGGCGGACGGGUGAGUAAUGCGUAGGAAGCUACCCGAUAGAGGGGGAUACCAGUUGGAAACGACUGUUAAUACCGCAUAAUGUCUACGGACCAAAGUGUGGGACCUUCGGGCCACAUGCUAUCGGAUGCGCCUACGUGGGAUUAGCUGGUUGGGGAGGUAAUGGCUCACCAAGGCGACGAUCCCUAGCUGGUUUGAGAGGAUGAUCAGCCACACUGGAACUGAGACACGGUCCAGACUCCUACGGGAGGCAGCAGUGGGGAAUAUUGGACAAUGGGCGCAAGCCUGAUCCAGCCAUGCCGCGUGUGUGAAGAAGGCCUUCGGGUUGUAAAGCACUUUCAGUAGGGAGGAAGCGUUGUGUGUUAAUAGUACACAGCGUUGACGUUACCUACAGAAGAAGCACCGGCUAACUCUGUGCCAGCCGCCGCCGUAACAC
rnacentral:rRNA from 1 species